rnacentral:rRNA from 1 species
AUUGAACGCUGGCGGCAUGCCUUACACAUGCAAGUCGAACGGCAGCGCGGGCUUCGGCCUGGCGGCGAGUGGCGAACGGGUGAGUAACAUAUCGGAACGUGCCUUAGAGUGGGGGAUAACCAGUCGACAGACUGGCUAAUACCGCAUACGAUCUGCGGAUGAAAGUGGGGGAUCGCAAGACCUCAUGCCCUUAGCGCGGCCGAAAUCUGAUUAGCUAGUUGGUGGGGUGAAGGCCCACCAAGGCGACGAUCAGUAGCUGGUCUGCGAGGACGACCAGCCACACUGGGACUGAGUCACGGCCCAGACUCCUACGGGAGGCAGCAGUGGGGAAUUUUGGACAGUGGGGGCAACCCUGAUCCAGCAAUGCCGCGUGUGUGAAGAAGGCCUUCGGGUUGUAAAGCACUUUUGUUCGGAAAGAAAUCGUCCUGGCUAAUAUCUGGGAUGGGUGACGGUACCGGAAGAAUAAGCGCCGGCUAACUACGUGCCAGCAGCCGCCGUAA